rnacentral:rRNA from 1 species
GAUGAACGCUGGCGGCGUGCUUAACACAUGCAAGUCGAACGAAGCACUUUAACCUGAUUCUUCGGAUGAAGGUUUUUGUGACUGAGUGGCGGACGGGUGAGUAACGCGUGGGUAACCUGCCUCAUACAGGGGGAUAACAGUUAGAAAUGACUGCUAAUACCGCAUAAGACCACAGAGCCGCAUGGCUCGGUGGGAAAAACUCCGGUGGUAUGAGAUGGACCCGCGUCUGAUUAGGUAGUUGGUGGGGUAACGGCCUACCAAGCCAACGAUCAGUAGCCGACCUGAGAGGGUGACCGGCGACAUUGGGACUGAGACACGGCCCAAACUCCUACGGGAGGCAGCAGUGGGGAAUAUUGCACAAUGGGGGAAACCCUGAUGCAGCGACGCCGCGUGAGCGAAGAAGUAUUUCGGUAUGUAAAGCGCUAUCAGCAGGGAAGAAAAUGACGGUACCUGACGAAGAAGCACCGGCUAAAUACGUG